GAUGCAUAAUCUCAUCCCUGAACAUCCUGCUGGUGCGAUUAUGACAUAUGAUUUUACCCAGCACCAGAGUGAUUUGAUGCUCCUGCCUGGGCCCAACCCACAGAAGGGAUUGUGACAUAUCACUGGACCCAGCACUGAGGGGACAUUGUGUAAUAUCGCUGGGCCUCACACGUACAUUAUGUGACUCUCCUGCCUGUGCCCUGUCCAUGUGGGCCAUUGUGACAUAUUGCUGGGUCCAACACCUGGUUGAUGUAACUCUACUGCCUAGGUCCUGCCUACGGAGGACAUUGUGAUGUAUCCCUGAACCCAUCACACAGAUUCUGCCCUCAGAGGACAUUGUGACAUGUCACUGGGCCCAAUACUAAGAUGACAUCAUUCUUUAGUUUUGGCACUGCCCUCAGAAGCCGUGGUGGUGUAUUGCUGGGCCCAGAGCCAAUGUGAUGUGAGUCUCCUGCCUGGAUCCUGCGUACAAGGUGCAUUGUGACAUAUCUCUGGGCCCUUUGACUAUUUUAUGUGACUCCUCUCUUACCUGGAUGUUGCCCAAAAAGAGAUUGCUUUGCACCCAGCACUGAGGUGAUUUGACUCUCCUCUUCUGCCUGUACUUUGCCUACAGGAGAGUGACUUAUUGCUGAGUUCAGCAUACACAUGAUGUGAUUUUCCUCCACUCACAGAAGUCAUUGUGACAUAUAUCUUGGCCCAUCGCUGAGAUUGUGACUGUCUUUUUCCUGGGACCUGUCCACAGUGGAGAGUAUGACACUUUUUUGGCCAAGCACCUACAAGAUACGACUCUCUUCUUAUGCCUGGGCCACUGGGGUGAUUUUGACAUGUAGUUGGCCCCAGCUCCAAGAUUAUGUGACUCCACACUUCUUCCUGAGCCCUACCUACAGGUAGCAUUGUGUCAUAUCUGUGAGACCCUCAAUUAGGUGAAAUGACUCUUUUGUUUGGGCCCUCUUCUCAAGGUACUGUGACAUAUUGCUGGGCCCAGCAUCUAGGUGAUGUAACUCUUCUGUACUGUUUGGUUUCUGCCUAAAAAGGCGUUGUGACAUACCACUCUAUCAAGAACCUAGAUGAGGUGACUCCUCUCCAGCCUGGGACCUGCAUACAUUGCUUAUUGACACAUAUCACUGGCUCCAGCACCUAGGUAAUGCAACUCUCGUACAUGGGCCCCCACCCAUAGGGGUAUUAUAAGAUAUCUGUUAAUCACCUAGGUGGUGUGACACUCCUCUUCUGCCUGGGCCCUCCCAAAAAAGUAUUUUUACACAUCACUGAGCCCAGCACCUAGGUGAUGUGACUCUUCUCUCAUGCAUUGGCCCUGCCAACUGGGGUGUUUGUUACAUAUAGCUGGGCCCAGCCCCUAGGUCAUGCGAUUCUUUUUUUUCUGAGCCCUACCCACAGAGGGCAUUUUGACAUAUUUUGAGCCCAUCAUUUAGGUGAUGUGACCCUCUUGCAUGGGCCCUCCCCACAAGGGGUACUGUGACAUAUUGCUGAACCCAGUACAUAGGUGAUGUGACUCUGCUCUAUGGAUUGGGCUUUGGCCAAGCAGGGCUGUGAUGUGUUGCUGGACUCACCACCUAUGUAUUGUGAUUAUUCUGUUCUGCCUAAGCCCUGCGUACAGUGUGUAUUGUGACAUAUGCCUGGAUUUAGCACCUGGGUAAUGUGACUUUAUGGCAUGGGAACUGUCCACAAAAGUGUUAUGACAUCUUUUUCAUCACCUAGGUGAUAUGACCCUUUUAUUUUCCCUGUUCCUGGCGUAUUUUGGGUAUAGUAACAUAUCAUUGAGUCCAAUGCCUAUGGGAUAUGUGGCUCCUCCCUGGGCCCAGCACAUAGAGUGCCUCAUGACAUAUCUCUGCAUCCAUAGUCUAGGAGAUUUAACUCUUCUCCUGACUUUCUUCUCCUGCCUAGUUUCUUCUCACAAAAAGUAUUGUCACGUAUCACUGGGCCCAACAGCAACAGUAACAAUGAUGUUACUCUUUGGCCUACUGUUUGCCCUCAGAAGGCAUUGUGACACAUUACUUGGCCAACAUCAAGGUCAUGUGCUUCUCCUGCCUGGACCCUGUCACAGGGGACAUUGUGACAUAUCUCUGUGUCCAUCACCCAGGUGAGGUGAAUCUUUUCACCUGCCUGGUGUCUGCUUGCUGGGGGAUAAUGAUAUAUAUUGCUGAUUUCAUCACCAAGCUGAUGUAACUCUUCUCGUCUUCAUACAUCCUGCCCGGAAGAAAACUGAAAUAUCGCUGGGCCCAACGCCAAGGUUAUUUGGCCUGGCCCCGCCCUCAAAAGGCAUUGUGACAUAUUGCAGUGCCCAGUACCAAUGUAAUUUGUCUCCUGCCUACACCCUGCCUACUUGGGGCAUUGUGACAUGUCUUGGCCCAUCAACUAUUUGAUAAAGCUCUCCUUUCUUACCUGGGUUUUUCCCAUAGUAGAGAUUGUGAAAGAUCUCUGGGACCAUCACCUAGAUGAUGUGACUCUCUUCUUUUGCCUGGGCCCUUUCCACGGGGAUGAUCGUGUCAUAUAGUUUUACCCAGCCCCUAGGUUAUGUGACUCAGUGGUUUCUGUGACAUAUUGCUUGACUCAGCACAUAGGUGAUAUGACUCUUCUCCACUGCUUGGACUCUGUCAAGGAGGUAUUGUGGGCCAGGUGUGGUGGCUCAUGCCUGUAAUUUCAGCACUUUGGGAGGUCAAGGCAGGUGGGUCACCUGAGGUCUGGAGUCUAAGACCAGCCUGGCCAACAUGGCAAAACCCUGUCUCUACCAAAAAUACAAAGAAAAAAAUAGCCGGGUAUGAUAGUGUGCCCCUGUAGUCCUGGCUACUUGGGAGGCUGAGACAGGAGAAUCACUUGAACCCAAGAGGUGGAGGUUGUGGUGAGCCACGAUCAUUCCAUUGCACUUCGGCCUGGGUGACAGAGUGAGACUCUGUCUCAAGAAAAAAAAAAAAAAAAAAGAACGUAUUGCAAUGUAUCACUGGGACUGACACCUAGGUUAUGAUACUCUCUCCUGCCUGAGUCCUGCAUAAAUUGUAUAUUUUGACAUAGCACUGCAUUCAACAUAUAGCUGAUGCAACUCUAGCACAUAGGCCCUGCUCAUGGGCAUAUUAGGACAUAUAUUUUUCUUCAUCACCUAGGUUAUGUGAAUCCUCUUCUUCCCAGAUCCUGCCAAAAGGAAAGAUUGUGACAUAUCACUGGAACCAGCACUUAGGCUAUUGUGACAUAUGUCUGAGGCUAACACCCAGAUGAUAUAAGUCUUCAUCCUUGACCCUGUCUACAGAAGUCAUUGUGAUAUAUGUCUUCACCAAUCACUGAGGUCGAACGCCCAGUGAUGUGACUCUCCUUCCUGGGCCAUGCCCUCAGGGAAGAUUGUGACAUACCCCGGCCCAGCACACAGUUAAUGUCACUCUUGUGCUUGCUGUCUACCCAUGGGUAGGAUUGUGACAUAUAUCGUGGCCAAGCACAAAGAUGUAACGACUGUCAUACCUCGAAGAAAGCAAUAGAGUUAAUGUUGCUCCUAGGUAGGCUUAGGAAAAUGAGGAAGUCGUCUUUCUGUUCAAAUCUCACUCUCUGACAUAUAUAAAGCCCUAGUGUGUUACAGAGAAUGUCAUAACAGGGCUCCUCACACAGGUGAGAUCGUGUUCUAUACACAGCCCACCAAUCUUGAGAAUUGUCACCCUCACACAUGGACAGAGUCCACUGGUGAAGUCCUGAAUCACACAUGAAUGCAGUUCACAAUUGGAAUUGUGACUGUCAUCAUUGAACAUCUGGCCACAAUUUGGAUGGUGAUUCUUUUUUUUUUUUUUUUUUUUUUUUUUUUUGAGACAGAAUCUUGCUCAGUCACCCAGGCUGGAGUACAGUGAUGCAAUCUUGGCUCACUGCAACCUCUGCCUCCUGGGUUCAAGCAAUUCUCCUGCCUCAUCCCCCUGAGUAGUUGUGAUUACAGGCACCCGCCACCAAGCCCAGCUAAUUUUUGUAUUUUAAGUAGAGACAGGGUUUCACCAUGUUGGCCAGGCUGGUCUCAAAGUCCUGACCUCGUGAUCCGCCCACCUCAGCCUCCCAAAGUGCUGGGAUUACAGGUGUGAACCACCAUGCCUGGCAGUGAUUCAUUUCUAAACCCAGCUUGUUAAAAGGUGAGGAAUCUCCUAUCUGGACUAAACCAAUUGGAUAGAUGUUGAUGCUCAUAUCUGGGCUUGGAACCACAGGAAAGAUCUUCUUGGACAAAGAUCACAGAGGAUUACCACUCUUGCAUAUUGUAUAAAUCCAUUAAGUGAAACUGUAUCAUAAGAGAACAUAGCACAUGCGUGAGAUUUUGUCUUUUGAAUGUACACCCAGGCAACAGUAAACAUUGUCAUUCUCCCAUAUAAACACAUCUCACUGUUGAGGUUCUGAAUGUCAGACACAGAGACUGAAAAGUUGAAUAAUUGACUCUCCUGUGGAUCUGGACUAGAGGUGGACUGGUGACUCUCAGAGCAAGAUUCAGCACACAUAAGAGUCUGUGACUUCACUGAAAGGACAAGCCUGCAGAAGAAAUUGUGGCUUUCCUGCCCACAUUCUGUCAACCACUGAUACUGUGACUCACAUACUUAGACCCAACGUACAGAAAGUGUUGACUCAUACCUAGCACCUGGACAUAUAUGGAAUUUCUACUCUAAUUCCUGGACUUUUCUGCAGGUGUGAUUGUAUACAUCUGCUACCCACCGUAGUGAUUUGACUUUGCUGCCUUGGCCCAGCCCACAGAUGAGAUUGUGACAUAUCACUUGACUCUGCACCUUGAUGGUGCAAUCUGCGCUCACUGCAACCUCUGCCUCCCAGGUUCAAGUGAUUCUCCUGCCUCAGCCUCCUGAGGAGCUGGGAUUACAGGCAUGCACCACCACACCCAACUAGUUUUUGUAUUUUUAGUGGAGACGGGGUUUCACCAUGUUGGUCAGGCUGGUCUCGAACUCCUGACCUCGUGUUCUGCCCGCCUCAGCCUCCCAAAGUCCUGGGAUUACAGGUAUGAGCCACCAUGCCCGGCCUCGCUGGGCCUUUCACCUAGGUGAUGUGAGUUAUUUUUCUUGCAUUGGUACUGCUCACAGGGUGCAUUGUGACAUAUUUCUAAGCCCUUCACUCAGGUUAUGUGACUACUUUUUUGCCUGUGCCCUAUUUUGCAUGUUAGGAUGUAUUAUGAGGCCCAACACCUAUAAAAUAGAGGCUCCUCCCUGGGCCUUGUCUACAGAGGGCCUUGUGACAUAUCUCUGCAUCAAUCACCUGGGAAAUGUGACUCUGUUUUUGCCUGCACUCUGUCCACAGGAAACAUUGUGACUUAUCACUAGGCCCAGGUACCAGUUGAUGUGUCUCUGGUAACUGGGCCUUGACCACAGAGAGGAUUGUUACCUAUUGCUGGGCUCAGCCCCCAUGUGGUAAGACUGUACUGUCUGUGUCCUGCUUUCAGGAGAAGGCUGUAACAUAUUCCUGGUUGAGUAUUCAGGUGAUGUGACACUCCUGUUUGGUCCCUGCCUUCAGAAAAGAUUGUGAUGUACUCCUGGCCAAAAACCCAGGUGAUGUGACUCUUAUCUCUCCCUAUUCACAGGUAAGAUUGUAAAAUGCCUUGGUCUAGCUCACAGGUGUGAUGAUGUUGAUCCUUUUUUUUUUUUUUGGAGAUGGAGUUGCUCUGUCGCCCAGGCUGGAGUGCAGUGGUGUGAUCUCAGCUCACUGCAACCUCCACCUCCUGGGUUCUAGGGAUUCUCCUGCCUCAGCCUCCCAAGUAGCUGAGAUUACAGGUGCACACCACCAGUCCCGGCUAAUUUUUGUAUUUUCUGUAGAGAUAUGGUUUCAGCAUGUUGGCCAGGCUGGUCUCGAGCUCCGUACUUCAAGUGAUCUGCCCGCCUCAGCCUCGCAAAGUUCUGGGAUUACAGGCAUGAGCCACCGCGCCCGGCCACAAGUGUGGUGAUGACUCUCAUACCUCAAACCAGCCAGUAGGAGAGAUCCUGUUUCUUAUAGCUAGGCUUAAAAUCAUGAGUAUGGUCAUGGGUCUUCUUGUACGAAGGUCCUAGAGAAAUACCACUUUCUUUUAUACUAUAUAAAUCUCUUACUGUACAGAGAUUGCCAUUCCAGGGUUCAGAACACAGGUGAGAUUGUGUUUCUCAUAUGCAUACCCCAGCAAACAUUAAAAUUGUCAUCUUCACACAUGGACAGGGUCCACUGGUAAGUCCUGAAUCUCACACAUGGAAAAAAUCCACAGUUGAAAUUGUGACUGUCAUAUAUGAACAUCUGGCCAGAGUUGAAAGGAUGAGUCAUUUCUAAAUCCAGUUUAUAGGCAAGUGAGAAUUUUUCUAUCUGAACCUGAGAGAAUAAAAGGUGGUUUUGAAUUAGACAAAAUAGAGCUAAAAGUUCAAACAAGUGGUGGAAGGAUUGUAAAAAUCUUGAGAAGAAUUCCAUGUGUGGUUAUAUUGACUAAAUUCAAAAAGGUACUACAUGGUUUUUCUGUAAAUAAAAAAUUGAAAUAAAAGCACAACAAUAUACUCGUAAUGCACUAAUCUGCUUUUUAACAACCUUUGUUAACGGUUAUAACAGAUUGUUGCUUCUUUAAAAUUUUGGAGUCAUUGUAACAAAAUAAAUCAUUUACGAUAAUCUGAAAUUCUAUUUUAUAACAUCAAGUGUUUCAAAUCUCUAACACUUAACAUG